UUUUGACUCAACCUUUCCACUUGCCAGCAGAUCAUACUCAUGCCUUUCAGGAAUGGUGUUACCCAGGACCAGAAUUGCCUUUCAACAAGUACAGCAUACUGACCAAAGGGGAUCAGGAAGAAGACAACUGCAGAAGGUCAGAGAAGCCGAAAAAAGAAGGAAAACGGGCUCAAGAAGAAAAUUGCACCCCCUUCCUGCCUUGCUCAGGAUGAUCAGAGCUUGGGAGUGGAAACCACCAUCACUGCCUCGGGACCUCUCUUCCUGUCCUCCAGCUCCCCAGGGUGCUUUGACCUGCUGCCCACACCACUCCCCAGCACGGCAGCCUCUUCCCGCUUCCGUGGCCAGGAGCCAUCUCCUUUCCGAUACAAACAACAGCAAAUAUGUAAGCCAAAAAAGCCUAUGUCCACAUCCCUCUAAAAUAGGUAAUGACAUUCAUGGUUAGCACUCCUCUUGCGAGCAGCAACCCACUUGCCUUGCCCUGCAUCCCAGGCUGCUGCUGCUGUACGUGUGGGAAGGACUAAGAGUUUCCCCAGCCACAGGGAGGGGAGGAAGCAGAUAAGAGCAGCUCUGCAAAGCACAGCACACUGCUUCCACACGAUGGGAGGAGGGACAGGCUCCUACAAAGAGCUGCCAUUUGGCCCUUGCAAAGAGUUACAGCUUCUCCCACCAUUAUCAGUGGCCACUCUCUAAGGUUUCAUAGGAAGCAGCGGGACAGAUAUCAGCUGUGCUGCAGCAUGAUCUUCUCAAACAGGUGGUCCUCAUCUCCUCCAGGGACAGGCACAGGAGGAACAGACAUAUGAGCCAUGACUUUGCAAUUCAGUAGGACUACUUGCCUCUCUCUGUCCAUCUACUUUUGAAAAAAUGCUGCCUGCUUUGCUUGUGCCUGAAGCUGGCUCCGUAACAUUAAGAGCUCACAUAAUACUCAGCACCUGCACAAUUUAAUGAAAAUCCUUCAUUUGUGAUCCUAGGUGUACCCACAUUUUGCUUUCAAACCCGACUAGUUGUUUUGCAAAUAUUUUUUUCCAGUUGCCAAUGAAAUUGUCUUUCUGUAUUGGCAAGAUUGGGCUAAUACCCAUUACAAAUAUAACAGCACAAUAUUAAUAUGUGAUCUUUCUUUGAAAAUUACAAAGUAUGCAGUGUAACAUACUAGUGGCUCAGUUGGGCAUUUUCUUUCUUGUUGAGAUGCCAUGGGACAUGCAAUUCAAACAGGCAUAAAAUUAUCAGCUUUUUUCCAUUCUCCAGUCUGACUGCUGUCCCUCACAAGAAGGCGCAUUUCAGUGAGGCAGACUGCUCAUUUUGCCACAAGUUCUUCCAAAGGCAGAGAAGAUGCGAAGGAUAAAGUUUCAGGGGGUUUUGUUGUUGUUUGUUUAAUAAACGGAUUAUAAUGUUAGUCAAAAUUGGAACUGAAAUAACAGGGUUAAAUUAUGAGGUAUAUUAAAUUACAAAAUGGUUAAGAUUACUUAAAUACCACGUCUUUUACCUAUGUGUACACUCUCACACAGGCUAUGUCAAAAUUAACUAUCAAGGACUUACUAUGCCUUAGCUGUUGCUCUUCAGUAAAUACCUUUCCUAUAUCUGACUUUAUUUAUCUGAAUUUUACAUGAGUGCAAAACUCUUCUGUUAAAACUGAUCUACUUAUUCAGGAAUGAAAAUCAUUAGGUUUGCACAGCAUUUAGAAAUCUAAAAAUCACACUGCUCCUUUCAGUGUGAAGCUGAAUACUGAGCAAUAUAAGCAGAAGUAGUAAACACAUGCCAGACAUUAACUUUGUAAAAUCUUUUACUUCUAUAUAAUCUGUGAUACGUUUGAACUUGCAUUAAUUUCACUUAUCUCAGCCACAGUAACACUUCCUUUCUAGAGUUAGUGCUGCUGAAAUACUGUAGCUCAAAUGAUUUAAGUGUUGGGACUGUUGAUUUAUUUAAAAACUUGAUUCAAUGAUCUGGACAGGUUCCUCAGUCUGUGAUAUUGCCAAAGCAAGUGAAUUUCACCAAUUUAAAAUUCUUUUGCUGCACAGCAUCCCAAUGCAGUCUCAGAGUUAUUCGAAGCAGUUUGAGACUCAAGUUGACAAGACCACAAAAUGACAGCAACCUUGUCUUCAAGACAUCAUUUGGUAAUAGACACAGAAGGCCCAUUAUGGGAAGCAGGACUUGUUCCACACCCCUGAAUAAGCAUAAGGAACAGCAAAUGCUCUUAAUGCUGUCCGAAACAUGCUUCUCUCACAGGUGAAACCACAGUGAUUAGUACUCACUAGAAUACUGUAGAUCAUGUAGCCACCCAGUCACUGCAUGGGAAAGAAGAAACAGACUCUUCCAGAAGCACGACUAAGAAAGCAGGGAUUUGUUCCUCCAAAGGAAACACUGCUCCUUUAAUCUGCAUGACGUGUCCCAAGAUUUAGAGGAGACAUGCAAAGAGAUAUUAGGACUGAGUAGACAGGUCAGACCAGCUCCAAGGUCUGAUGUCCAGCACAGCCAGAGGAACCCAUGUGUGUUUUUGAGGUAGACUCCGUCUAAUCAAUGCUUAUUAAACAAAGCUUCAUUGUAGUCAAGACCUUGUGAAACCACACUAAUUGAGAAGUCUAGUAGUAAAAGCUUUUUUACUUCUUGGUGCAAAAACUGUUGGUGGAUGCUCAAUACCGUGCAAUAAGGCCCAGUCAGCCUUUAAACCUGUAAGUACUGGGAAAUGGAACAAAAAGUUUACUUUAGCUGAUACAGUAUUUUGGUUUCAAAAUCACAUCCUGGGAGAUAUAGAACUACAGAGUUUUUCUAAGCUGUGAAUUGCUACAUGUGUAAACCACAUCUUUGGGGCACCCUAGAACACAGCUGAAGUCACUUAUGCAACAGGAUAGGCUGUAAUUUACCAAACAGUUAAUAUGACCUGUUCAGGACAACACUUGAUUAUACAAGCUAGUGUUUAUAAAUUCUUCAGGAAACAUCCUCUCUGCUAACACAGAAAUUUCUCUUUCUUCCCAAAAGGAACAGUAGCAUCUUACUGUCCAUGCCUCAUUUAACCACACAGGUGUGUCAAACCUAACCAACAGUUAGGCUUGUAGUAUACUAGCAAAGCUGAUUCAUUAACCACAAUUUUUAAACCCUAAUAUAAACGGAUUCUGCAAACUGAUUUGUAUUAACCAAGUCUGGCUGUGCUUCCAUCUGGAAGUUAUAUUUUAUAACACUAGCCACAUCUUGAAAAACAGAUUCAGAUGUUUGGAACAAAUUCAGAACAGUUGUAAGAAAUUCUAGAUACAAAUGAAAAAAAAAAUUGAGUUUUAAUGUCUUUUUCCUCUCAGUUUUCAUUCAAGUAGGCAUUUAUAAUCAUGGUGUUUAGGGAGUUGAGGGGUUAGGAAAGAAUCUGUGUUAUUACCUGUGACGUAUUUACUCAUGUGUAAUGGCAGUUUGUUCUUUCUCAUACCGCUCUGUAGCAUUUUAAGCCUAUCCUGAUAAAGGUACACAAUGCUGAGUGAAAACAGUUAAGAAACAGGGUUGAAGCAUCUGGCCUAUCCACAAAGAUUUUCUGCUAUGAAAACUGUCUUUACAUGAAAUAGCAAACUUGAUAUAAUCCCUACAGCAAGGAUACAUCAAUAUCCAUAUAAAAAUGCCUUUUUAACAACAGAGCCUAUAGCCCAUGCAUUAGGCUAUUGUCAGUACAGAAGAGUACCUGCAAGGUUUGUGCAACUUGUAAAAAUGCUAAGUAUCUACCUAACUUCUUUAUUUAGAGAAUCACAUCAUCAAACCUUUUUACUCUUCUAAGCCUUCAGCUUUGGAGUUGGUCAAACCUACAUUAAUGUUGAGGCAAUUUAAUUUCUUAACAUACAAACAUGAGGAUAGAGAAGCAUUAGAAAAGAAAGAGUGAAAUCCAACACACAGAGAAAUUUUUUAUGCCUUGGAAAGAAAAAUUAACUUCUGCCUUUCCAGCUUGUUUAAAAUAACCAUGAAGCCACAAACAGGAAAGCCAAACAAGAGAAAUGUGCCCAAGCUUCUCAAAAAGCUGAUGUUGUAGAAGGCAAAUGACAAAACAAGAUUUCCUCUCCACCCACACCAUUUAGCACAGAUGCUCUAGAAAUCCCACAAACACACUGUUUUUCUCUAAUUGCAAAAAAGUUUCCUGA